UGCCUCGGCAGCUCUCAGAGGUCUUGGAAUCGCGUCUCUCUUUUAAAAGCAUCCGAUCGGAUAGCUUUUAGAGGUCUUCUUCCGUGCUGUGUCAACAGCCGUGCGCCGCGAGGAUCCAUUGUUGCGGCUUAGGUCUUGAAGAAACGCAAAGAUUGGUAGGGGACUGUGGCCCUCAGAUUCUCGGGCAUCCGUCUUGGCAGUUGCUGGAGUUUGUCAUUCCAUCAGCAUCUUCUUCCUCCCGGGCUCUGCGAGCUUCAUCAGCUCGCCUUCAUUCUCACCCGGCUCAUCUCAUUCCGCGUUCUCUCGGUCCUUGCGGCCAUUAUUGUGGCCCAGAGUUUUGUCUCCCCGUUGUGUCCCCUCGUCUGUUGUCUUGUGUGUCACGGGUGUCUGGGUGUAGUAGUCCUGGAGCUGCUCUGUCCUGCUGCCCAGCCUGGGUGUAGGCAUGAGGGGACAAGUCCCAGGCCCCUGUUAUUUGAAAUUUGUGAUGUAGGGUGUAGUUGGAGUCUAGCGGGUGUUCCUAGAUUGACACAAGAUGUCAGGAGCUGUGAAGUUACCCUGCAGCACUUUGACUUUUGUCUCAGCUUUCUUUCAGAUGGGGACGGAUGAAAUCGGUGGCAGAGCGCCCCAUCCAGGGUAAGGGGGUUCCCCUGAGAAGGUAAGUCAAUGUUUGUCUUUGCAGGGCAACUGGAACCGGUCACUGCGUGACAGGUCUCCUCUUUGUCUUUAUUUUUAGGAAGUAGAGCCGGCUAGCAGCAGUCAAGGCGAAGUGGGCAAGGCGGUCCAGUCGCAUUUCGCCGAGACGUCCUCUCCAACCAACCGGCCGGCACAGCUGUUUCACCGCUCCCGUGAGCCCUGCGGAAACAUUACGGGACCGUGUGACGGAGCCUUUUCCACGUAAAGGGGCCGUGUGGGUGGCCUUCAGGAACGGGCCGAGGGGUUGCCGCGUGCCCUGCGAUGACGGCGUCCGGCUCCCGGUGUGGCUGAAGCGCGCGGCCUCAGGACGUGGCCGUUCACAGGAGACCAAGACAACAGCCCGGCGAUGGCAGGAACUUCCCGGAUGGCGAGGCGGCCUUCCUUGGCGCUCCAUGUGGAUCCUCCCCGAUGGGCAUCCGAGAGCUGAG